GCAGUGAUGACAUUCCCAAAAAAAAGCACGUGUUAGACUGCUGAUGCGGGUGAUGCGAACAACAAUCUGAGC
rfam:Mustela putorius furo unplaced genomic scaffold scaffold00025, whole genome shotgun sequence.